CGUAGCCCCCGUGUUGGAGGCCGCGAGAAUCAGAGUGCCAUGGUGCCCCUUUAAUAAAAUCGUGGUGUCCUCAUUAACCAGGACUCACACAAAAGAGUACUUAAAUGGAAGGAAAUACGUUUUUCAAUACUACGAUUCAAAGGAUAAAUGCGCUGUUAUUACCUUCGCAGAUGCGGAAUGUGAUACCAAAUGCGAAUUGCACGCUUGGCAUAGCAAGCGUAAUGCUCAAAUGGUUAAUUGCCUAAGAGAAUAUGAAUACCUGUGCAAGCA